GACCAGGAGCACACAGGGUGAACUGGGUGUUUAUCCCUCUCAAAGGCUCCAUCCGGACAGCCUCCGUUCCCCUCCCCGCUCCCCGCCCAUGUCUUCUCUCUAGCUGAGGCUUCAGAAACGUGACUGGGGGGAGUCUUGGAAGGAAGAAUGGCAGAACAGAGGGAGAAAAACCCGGACAGAGCACCCGCUGUGCGCCAAUCCCGGACCGAGCCUCUCCGUGUGCUACAAACUUGUGUCUUCUGAAGGAGCUCACCAGCAACUUCUACACCCAGGGACAGGAAGACAUGCUGUCUGCCAUCAUUUCAAGCCGGAAAAUUCUGGUUCCAGGAUCCUGAGGGCUGGGCCUGUCCCAUCUCUGCAGGCCUUGGACUACACCCAGCCUCCAGCCUUCAGGGGUGGUUCCGAAGCCUCGCCCGACCCCAGUCAAACGGAGCCACCCAGCUGCCUCAAACAGCACGCAAAAUCACAGGCAACAGGGCAGAAAACCCAAUUAUUCUCAGCUGUUACACUGCUUAAUUUAAUAUUUCCAACAAGUUCCUUGAGUCUGCUCCUCCAGAAUGAAAUGCAUAUUUGGGCCCUGUCACAAGGCAUUAUGUUUUGUCAAGGCAAGCCAUUGGGCUGCAGUGAUUUGUAAGUGCACGCCAGCCCCCUGUUUGGUAGGGGGGCUUUCACGGCGUCUUCCGGGAAGAGAAGUCAGGAGCCGGGGCUCUGCAGUGACAGGCAGGGUGGGGAUGGCAGAGCGACAGGACCUGAUGUGGCAUCUCUCUUUCUGAAACUCCAGGAAGAAAGGGAUUUGGGGACCAAUAGGAGCCUGGGCCCCUCCUUUGCCUUCGGAGUGCAGAGGUGGGGUCUGGGGAGGCGUUUUGCUGGUCCCAGAGGAUUCUGUUUUUAAACUUCUUCAAAAGAUUGCAGAAAUCAUCCUUCUUAGACAUUGAAGAAAAAGAUUAAAAUGGAAAGCAUGAAAAAUAUACCCACAAACUCACCUGUAGAUCAAGAUGAAUGUUUUUAAAUUUUGUUAUUAUCAGUUAAGUGUAGUUUAGCUGAGAUGUGUGUUUGGGAUCUGGGAUUGCUUAUGCAUUCAGGAAUAUUUGCACCCACCUAUCUGUUUGGAGAGAUGGCUUGGAAAUGAAACCUAAGUCUAAACACAGAAUUCACUUAUUUCUUACACACAGAUAAUUUUACACAGAAUUUGGGGCACACCUGUGCUUUCACUGUGACCCCCUGCCAUGCAGUGUGGGGUGGAAUUUUUUACUGGUUGCACCUUGUUAGUGCUCAAAAAUUUUCAGAUUGUGGAAUGCUUUUGGGACUUGCAUUCUCAGUGUAGGGGUGCUCCAACAGUACAUUAGUUUAAAGAGGCCGAUAAAUACACAUAAAUGAGAUUUCAUAUGUAUUAUAUUCAUAUAUUAUUUUAAGUUUUGCUUUGAAGUAACUUCAAAUUCACACCAAAAUAAGUUGCAGGAAACUUACAUGGAGUUACUAAAGUGUCUUCCACCCAGUUUUUCACCAAAAUGACACCUUGCACAUCCAUGAUAUUUUAUCACACCC
rnacentral:lncRNA from 1 species